GCAGUUUCAUAUGCAAGUGUCACGGUCAUAUUGGCGUUUGACCAUGACGCGGUUGCCAUGCAGAUUGGUUGCCGGUGGCAACGUGUUGUUGGCAGUUUGCAUGUGCACUUCCCCUUUAAGGAUUGCC